rnacentral:sRNA from 1 species
GGUUUUCUUUGGUCAUUGUUUAGAGUCUCGAGUCCUGAUCAUAUCUUUCUUCCGAUUCCAAACUGGGAGCACAAGGAGAACCCUGAGACUGAAGAAGAUGUUGGGCCAGUUGUUCAGCACAUCUAUGAGCUGAGAAACAAUGGUCCAAGUUCAUUCAGCAAGGCAAUGCUCCAUCUUCAGUGGCCUUACAAAUAUAAUAAUAACACUCUGUUGUAUAUCCUUCAUUAUGAUAUUGAUGGACCAAUGAACUGCACUUCAGAUAUGGAGAUCAACCCUUUGAGAAUUAAGAUCUCAUCUUUGCAAACAACUGAAAAGAAUGACACGGUUGCUGGGCAAGGUGAGCGGGACCAUCUCAUCACUAAGCGGGAUCUUGCCCUCAGUGAAGGAGAUAUUCACACUUUGGGUUGUGGAGUUGCUCAGUGCUUGAAGAUUGUCUG